AUUCCAGCUCCAAUAGCGUAUACUAAAGUUGUUGCAGUUAAAAAGCUCGUAGUUGGAUUUCUGGUGGAAGUGACCGGUCUGUCCCUAGUGGAUGUGAACUUGUGUCUACUUUUGCCAUCCUUGGGGAGAGCGUGCCUGGCAUUAGGUUGUCGGGUUCGGGAUCCCCAUCCUUUACUGUGAAAAAAUUAGAGUGUUUAAAGCAGGCUUAUGCCAUUGAAUACAUUAGCAUGGAAUAAUAAGAUAGGACUUUGGUGGUCUAUUUUGUUGGUUUGCACACCAAGGUAAUGAUUAAUGGGGAUAGUUGGGGGUAUCCGUAUUUCGUAGUCAGAGGUGAAAUUCUUGGAUUUACGAAAGACGAACUACUGCGAAAGCAUUUACCAAGGAUGUUCUCAUUA
rnacentral:rRNA from 1 species